rnacentral:rRNA from 1 species
AGAGUUUGAUGACGAACGCUGGCGGCGUGCCUAAUACAUGCAAGUCGAGCGGACAGAUGGGAGCUUGCUCCCUGAUGUUAGCGGCGGACGGGUGAGUAACACGUGGGUAACCUGCCUGUAAGACUGGGAUAACUCCGGGAAACCGGGGCUAAUACCGGAUGGUUGUUUGAACCGCAUGGUUCAAACAUAAAAGGUGGCUUCGGCUACCACUUACAGAUGGACCCGCGGCGCAUUAGCUAGUUGGUGAGGUAACGGCUCACCAAGGCAACGAUGCGUAGCCGACCUGAGAGGGUGAUCGGCCACACUGGGACUGAGACACGGCCCAGACUCCUACGGGAGGCAGCAGUAGGGAAUCUUCCGCAAUGGACGAAAGUCUGACGGAGCAACGCCGCGUGAGUGAUGAAGGUUUUCGGAUCGUAAAGCUCUGUUGUUAGGGAAGAACAAGUACCGUUCGAAUAGGGCGGUACCUUGACGGUACCUAACCAGAAAGCCACGGCUAACUACGUGCCAGCAGCCGCGGUAAUACGUAGGUGGCAAGCGUUGUCCGGAAUUAUUGGGCGUAAAGGGCUCGCAGGCGGUUUCUUAAGUCUGAUGUGAAAGCCCCCGGCUCAACCGGGGAGGGUCAUUGGAAACUGGGGAACUUGAGUGCAGAAGAGGAGAGUGGAAUUCCACGUGUAGCGGUGAAAUGCGUAGAGAUGUGGAGGAACACCAGUGGCGAAGGCGACUCUCUGGUCUGUAACUGACGCUGAGGAGCGAAAGCGUGGGGAGCGAACAGGAUUAGAUACCCUGGUAGUCCACGCCGUAAACGAUGAGUGCUAAGUGUUAGGGGGUUUCCGCCCCUUAGUGCUGCAGCUAACGCAUUAAGCACUCCGCCUGGGGAGUACGGUCGCAAGACUGAAACUCAAAGGAAUUGACGGGGGCCCGCACAAGCGGUGGAGCAUGUGGUUUAAUUCGAAGCAACGCGAAGAACCUUACCAGGUCUUGACAUCCUCUGACAAUCCUAGAGAUAGGACGUCCCCUUCGGGGGCAGAGUGACAGGUGGUGCAUGGUUGUCGUCAGCUCGUGUCGUGAGAUGUUGGGUUAAGUCCCGCAACGAGCGCAACCCUUGAUCUUAGUUGCCAGCAUUCAGUUGGGCACUCUAAGGUGACUGCCGGUGACAAACCGGAGGAAGGUGGGGAUGACGUCAAAUCAUCAUGCCCCUUAUGACCUGGGCUACACACGUGCUACAAUGGACAGAACAAAGGGCAGCGAAACCGCGAGGUUAAGCCAAUCCCACAAAUCUGUUCUCAGUUCGGAUCGCAGUCUGCAACUCGACUGCGUGAAGCUGGAAUCGCUAGUAAUCGCGGAUCAGCAUGCCGCGGGUGAAUACGUUCCCGGGCCUUGUACACACCGCCCCGUCACACCACGAGAGUUUGUAACACCC